rnacentral:lncRNA from 1 species
GCUCCGCGAGUCCUGGCGAGAGCCGAGGGCUCCCCGGGUUCAAAGGGCCGCAGCCCCGAGGGAACGCCCUCCUUGCUGUGCCCCGGGGGGCAGAAGCGGACUGCUGGGCGGUGGGACCGGCCUGGGCCACGGUAUGCUACUGCUCAUACCGGCCUUGCUGGGAGAGGAUCCUUGAUGACUGGGACCUACAUGGAUGCCAGGAUGCCAAGGAGUCAACGCCUUGUUCCCUGGGUAGCUGGCUCAGGCUGGUUCUAACAGAGUCUAUUGAUGCAAACCAGAAUUUUGAAGCUUGGUUCACAAAGUUGAGACAACUCCAGCUUUCUUUGUUUUGGCUUAGUAAUUCUGACUUUUGAAAUCUCCUGUCGUGAACAAAUCUACACUGCACUUUAUUUCUUGCCCCGUCCUGGAAUUCAGCCACUCCUGCACUACAUUUCUUAAGGUGAAGAAGUGAAAGACGAAGACACCAAUCCAAGUGAACGUGUGUUAUUCUCUUCUAUAAUGCUAUUGUAUUAUAUUCCCUCUUUUUUUUAAAUUCUCUUGAUUUCUCUGCACAAAAGAGGGAAAUUCUUCCAAAGCAACGGAAAGUUUCCUUGAAAUACUUUUAUCUAGUCACACUUACAUAGUGUAAUGUCUCUCUCUUACAGCAUUGUACAGUUUGGGAUUUGUUUUUAAUCCUGUGGAAAAUGUCCUAACAGGGCUUUGGUGUAUCUUUGUUCCAAUUUCUACAUUGCUUGGGGAGGGGGAGAAGCUUUCUUUGUAUUAAAUGAAAUACACCACUACUUCAUUAAAUAAAUAGACACCUCAACCAUUAGUUGCUAAUGAAACAAAAAUCUAAGUAAAACAUCUAACUAUCCAAAUACUACAUUUUCUCUACCUUUGCCCCAAAAUGUGCCUCAUCUCCCUGCACCUCCAAAUAAUAUUUCUAGUGUUUUCAUUUUAUUAGUUUUGCAAUGUCACUGUCCAGAUAGAAUUAUUCGAUGACUUAAAACAACUUUCGUAAGAUUUUCAAGCCCUAAAUUAAAAAAUCAUAUUUCAAUACAA